GUGUAAAGCACCUUGAAAAGACCUGCCUACCGGGAUUAGACACAGCGCUAUUUUGGGGCUCUUGUCACAUUAGUCGUCAGAUUCAUAGCGCUGCUGGGCUGGGUCACGCUGCUAGGACUCACCACUCACUUGAUCGACACAAAUAAACACCAAGAAAGAGCCUUGAAACCGGGUUAAUUAAAAACGUUUCAUAGUUCGUCUCGUCAGUAGCGUUUGUGCUUUGACGUACCUUUGGAAGUUAUCGAGUGUAAAUUCUUUGGUGUUUUCGAGACACACGACGCUUCUGAAACUUUUGCGUGCGUAAAGACGUUGGAAGACGAAAUGGGGGAGACUGAUGUUCAAAUGGAGAGUACAGAGCAAAUGCAGGAGCCUCACGCUUCAAGCUCGGACAAAAUCGACUUGUCAUUAGAUGACAUUAUAAAGCUGAAUAAGAAGGAACAGAAGGCAAACAGAGCUGCCAACAGAGCUCAAACUAAACGUGCUGUUAACAGGAACAACGUCUUGAAGAAACUCAACCAGGUUCCACAGCAACAGAGGGGACUCAGACGAGGAGCGCAGCAGUACCAAGGCAAGCAUUUGAUACUUAAGUCUCUCUUAUCUCCUGCUUUUUUUUACAGCUGAUACAUUUGGACUGUUUGGCAUAUGACUUCUGCCUGACCUGAUCUGUUUUAAAAGGUAAAAAUGCUUCAAUUGAACUGUAUAAAGACUUGUAAGUUUCUCAUAGAGGCUUGUCUCACAGGGCCUGGCAGGGGGAGAGGGUUAAGGAGACAAAGAGGAUCCGGGAGGGGCAUGAUGUUGAGAAGGGAUUCACUAAAUGCCGCUGCUGCCGCUGCCACGACUGGUGAACAGUUUGAUCAGACCACAUUCACAUCGAGGGGCACAUUCAGAGGACGGGGAAGAGGUAGAGGAAGAGGAGGCGGACUGAGCAGGGGUGCAUUGUCAGCAAGAGGACAAAGGGGUGGAAGACCAUUUGUAUUAGACAGAGGGGUAAGAAGGACAAUCUUUAUUAAUAAAUCAACAUUCAACAAAAAAAAAACAUUCACAUUAUACAAAACCUAUACACGGAUUGACCUUCGAAGUCGAAGAACAGCACCAUCUGGCUCCACGCUGACAGUAUCCCUGCCAAAUGCUAAAUCUGCACCUGUCGCUGUGAAGACAUCUAAUCAAACUAGGAGGGGUGGGGCAGUGUUAAGGGGCAGAUCAUCUAGAGGAGCCGGUACUUCGUCAUCUAUGGGGAUUCCUCUGCAAUUUAACUACAAAGCAACUACUAACCAGACUGCCGUAUACCUUAAUGACCGUUUCACUGACCUGAGGUUAAGAGGGCAAGAACGAGGCCGGGGAAGAGGUGGUGGAAGAGGAGCUGUUGGAGGAGGGGGAAGAGGUGGAGGAAGAGGAAACAUUGUUGGGGGUGGACGAGGUAGAGGACAAGGAAACAUAGGUGGUGGAAGAGGCAGAGGAAGAGGAAACUUUAUGGGUGGUGGAAGAGGAAGAGGAAACUUUAUGGGGGAUGGCAGAGGAAGAGGAAACAUUAUGGGGGGUGGCAGAGGAAGAGGAGGGGUUGGUGUGGCAAGAGGAGGAAGAGGCUUGAGAAGAGGGAGUGGAGGAUCAAGAGGAGCCGAUCGAACAGUAACUCUUCAGUGAUUAGAAUUACAACCAAUUUUAUGAAGUAAUAGUGUUUACUGAAAAAUUAAUUAUUUUUGGUAAAAAAAAUUUUUUUUUUGGUGCAUCACUAUUUACUGUCAUGAUGUCAUUCAACUAAAUAUUUGUAACAUUUCUGACAGCGGGAUAAGGGGGGUUUAUUGCAGUGUACAAACAAAAAAAAAGUCCUUUUUAAAAGAAUGUAAAUUAUUGAUUGUUAUAUGAUGAAGGUUUUUAAAUUUUUAGGUUAUGAAAAAAUAACAUUUUAAAAAGUACCUCAGAGGGUAAUGAAGUGCCUCUUCAAAUUCAGUGUAAAUACUGUUUUGCAUUCUGACAUUAGAAGGUAAACUCAGUGAUAAAAACUGAAUCCUAUACUUAAAAAAUGUAAAUAUAUCAAAAGUUGUUUACAUUUGAUAUCAUCAUAUCAAUAAACACCAAACAAUGGACA
ensembl:lncRNA probable H/ACA ribonucleoprotein complex subunit 1-like protein